GGGUUGUUAGCUCAGUUGGUAGAGCAUCGGACUCUUAAUCCGUUGGUCAUGUGUUCGAGUCACAUACAACCCA
rnacentral:tRNA from 1 species